rnacentral:hammerhead_ribozyme from 1 species
AUCCAGCUAACGUAUCCCAAAUAGGACGAAAUGCACAUCUUAGAU